rnacentral:lncRNA from 1 species
GAUCAUUUAUAUGGUGAUGAUCAUAAAAUUCAAACUGCAUAUAUAUGAACCAUCCAAAACUAUAUAUCUCUUGAUACUCAUUCUUAAAGUUCUUAAGUAAUUAUACUUGUAUUUUUGUAAGAUCUACUUAAUGUGAAUGAUUCAUAUAUAUGUGGUUUGAAUUUUACAAUCAACAUCGUAGCGAUGAUUAAAAUAGUAGUAA